rnacentral:miRNA from 3 species
AGAACUGUGUUUGGACAUCAGU